GUGAACAGCAACCAGGAUCUAUACCUGUAGUUGUUGAAGAGUCCACCACAGCAGCUUCUACUGAAAAUGCUUCUGAUUCCACAACAUCUGAGAACAGGCAACCUACUACUGAACCAGAAACAACUCCACCUAGUACUGACAU